rnacentral:rRNA from 1 species
UGGUCCUCGGGACGCAGCAGUGGGGGAUAUUGCACAAUGGGGGGAACCCUGAUGCAGCAACGCCGCGUGGGUGAAGGAGUACCCCGGUACGUAAAGCCCUAUCGGCAGGGAAGAAGAUGACGGUACCUGACUAAGAAGCCCCGGCUAACUACGUGCCAGCAGCCGCGGUAAUACGUAGGGGGCAAGCGUUAUCCGGAUUUACUGGGGGUAAGGGGAGCGCAGACGGCAGUGCAAGUCUGGAGUGAAAGCCCGGGGCUCAACCCCGGGACUGCUUUGGAAACUGCGUAGCUGGAGUGCUGGAGAGG